GACGAACGCUGGCGGCGUGCUUAACACAUGCAAGUCGAACGAAAAGAGGGAAAGAGCUUGCUCUUUCCGGAAUUGAGUGGCAAACGGGUGAGUAACACGUAAACAACCUGCCUUCAGGAUGGGGACAACAGACGGAAACGACUGCUAAUACCGAAUACGUUCCACGGGCCGCAUGGCCCAUGGAAGAAAAGGUGGCCUCUACCUGUAAGCUAUCGCCUGAAGAGGGGUUUGCGUCUGAUUAGCUGGUUGGAGGGGUAACGGCCCACCAAGGCGACGAUCAGUAGCCGGUCUGAGAGGAUGAACGGCCACACUGGAAUUGAGACACGGUCCAGACUCCUACGGGAGGCAGCAGUGGGGAAUCUUCCGCAAGGGGCGAAAGCCUGACGGAGCAACGCCGCGUGAGUGAUGACGGCCUUCGGGUUGUAAAACUCUGUGAUCCGGGACGAAAAGGCAGAGUGCGAAGAACAAACUGCAUUGACGGUACCGGAAAAGCAAGCCACGGCUAACUACGUG
rnacentral:rRNA from 1 species